rnacentral:rRNA from 1 species
UACAGAGGGUGCGAGCGUUGUCCGGAAUCACUGGGCGUAAAGGGCGCGUAGGUGGCCCGACAAGUCAGUGGUGAAAGCUCGACGCUUAACGUCGAGUCGGCCACUGAUACUGUUGGGCUGGAGCACUGUAGAGGCAGAUGGAAUUCCGGGUGUAGCGGUGGAAUGCGUAGAGAUCCGGAAGAACACCGGUGGCGAAGGCGGUCUGCUGGGCAGUAGCUGACACUGAGGCGCGACAGCGUGGGGGAGCAAACAGG